rnacentral:rRNA from 1 species
GACGAACGCUGGCGGUGUGCUUAACACAUGCAAGUCGAACGGUAAGGCCCUUCGGGGUAAACGAGUGGCGAACGGGUGAGUAACACGUGGGUGAUCUGCCCUGCACUUCGGGAUAAGCCAGGGAAACUGGGUCUAAUACCGGAUAGGACUCCGGACUGCAUGGUCUGGGGGGGAUAGCGUGUUCAGUGUGGGAUGGGCGCGCGGCCUAUCAGCUUGUUGGGGGGGUGAUGGCCUACCAAGGCGGCGACGGGUAGCCGGCCUGAGGGGGUGACCGGCCACACUGGGACUGAGAUACGGCCCAGACUCCUACGGGAGGCAGCAGUGGGGAAUAUUGCACAAUGGGCGCAAGCCUGAUGCAGCGACGCCGCGUGAGUGAUGACGGCCUUCGGGUUGUAAACCUCUUUCAGCACCGACGAAGCGCAAGUGACGGUAGGUGCAGAAGAAGGACCGGCCAACUACGUGCCAGCCGCCGCAGUAA